GUGCUUCUGUUCGUUGAAGAUAGAUAGGAAAAAGCAGAUAUGAAAAGAAGAAAAAUCACUGGAAAAGGUGAUGAUCAUGUUAUUCAGUUCUUCUACUCCUGACUAGAAAUAAUUGAAGUGUAAUCCAACAAGAGCUGGAAACAUCUCCUCUUGAUUUCCAAGAUCUUGAAUAUUUUAUUAUAUUAGAUAUAUAAAAUGAAAAUUUCAAUUAGAUCAUUUUUUUAUGAUCUAUCAUGAUAUAUUGUCAACAAUUACACUAAAAAUAAUGGAAUAGACGAGACAUA
rnacentral:misc_RNA from 1 species